AUGGAUUUUCAAAAUGUAGACCAUAUAUUAAAUAGAUUUUUGGAAUAGGGAGAUGGAAUAGGGGCUUGCUCCGUCCACUCCACAUCCACCUGGUAUUGCAGUACCUCCAGGAACGGUGCACCCCCU
ensembl:snRNA U2 U2 spliceosomal RNA